AAAAUGUAAAUAUAAACUCUGCGCCGAUUAUUCUUAUUCUAAGGUAACAAGUGGUAUGUUGUAAAGUUAUCUUGUAUUGUGAAACAUAUUUUCUGGUUAAGGAAACUACAAAAAUAACUUAGUUUGAUGAUGGUAUUAUAGACCCUAUAGAAAGUAAUGUUAUCAGAUGGAAAGUAUGUGGUAGUGUACAGCAUGAUUUUCUGUCUUAACAAAAGGCCUGCAUACUCACAAGUAUACUUCUAGAAGUAGGAUUACUGUGAGCUUGAUGAUGUCAAUUCAGCGGAAUGAUUUCCAUGAAAUUAAAGUUUCACUGAAAGCUCACCUUAUCACAUCAGAUUGUGAAUGAGUGAAUUUAGUUUUACACCUCUUUUAGCAAUAUUCCAGCAAUAUCACGGCAGGGGACACAAGAAAUGGUCUUCAUGCAUUGCAUCUAUGUAGGGAAUGGAAGCAGCGUGAUGAGCAGACCAGGCCUUCAACAACCCAUGCUUGUCGUAAGAGGCAACUAACAGGAUCGGGUGGUCAGGCUCGCUGACUUGGUUGACAUAUUAUUGUAAUGUAUCCCAAUUGCUUAGAUCAGUGCUCAUGAUGUUUAUGACUGUAUUGUCUGGUCCAGGCUGGAUUAUUUACAGGCCGUCGCCAUAUGGCUGAAUAUUGCCGGGUGCGGCGUUAAACAACAUGCUAACAAACAAAACAGAGGUCCUUGUGUGUAUAAGAAUUGGAGAUAACCCUGUUGUACAAGAGAUUAGUAUUUACAUGUAUGAGAAUUGUCUGUGUAUGAGCAUGAGGGAUCUUGUAUCAGACUGAUGUGUGGUAGUGUACAGAAUGAUUUUCUGUCUGAAUAAAUGGCCUGCAUACUCGCAAGUACACUUCUAGAAGUAGGAUUACUGUGAGCUUGAUGAUGUCAAUUCAGCGGAAUGAUUUCCAUGAAAUUAAAGUUUCACUGAAAGCUCACCAUG